GUGAACGCUGGCUACGGGCUUAACACAUGCAAGUCGUGGGGAAACGGCAUUAUGUGCUUGCACAUUCUGGACGUCUACCGGCGCACGGGUGAGUAUCGCGUAUCCUACCUGCCCCUUACUUGGGGUUGCCCCGUUGAAAGACGGCCUAAUACCCGAUGUGUUUCAUUGGCGCGUGUGAUAUGAAAAUGGGUUUUCCGGUGAGGUAGGGGAUCGUCUGAUUGCUAGUUGGUGGGGCUUGUUGCCACCUGGUUGCGAGUCGGUGUGGUGUUAGGAUGUUCCCCGCUUUGGAUUGUGUGACGUUUGUUGUGGGUGUUGUUUGUGUUUGUGAUUUGUGUUUUUAUGGGCUUGGGUGGUGGGGGGUGUGGGUUGGUGGGUGGUGUUCUGGUAUGGAUGGUGUUUGUUUGGUUGGGGUUGGGGUGGGUUGGGUGUGUUUUUUGUAUUGUUU
rnacentral:rRNA from 1 species